rnacentral:rRNA from 1 species
GACGAACGCUGGCGGCAUGCCUAAUACAUGCAAGUCGAGCGAACAGAUGAAGUGCUUGCACUUCUGACGUUAGCGGCGAACGGGUGAGUAACACGUAAGGAAUCUACCUAUAAGCGGGGGAUAACAUUCGGAAACGGGUGCUAAUACCGCAUAAUAUCUUCUUCCGCAUGGAAGAAGAUUGAAAGACGGCUCUGCUGUCACUUAUAGAUGACCUUGCGGUGCAUUAGUUAGUUGGUGGGGUAACGGCCUACCAAGACGAUGAUGCAUAGCCGACAUGAGAGGGUGAUCGGCCACAUGGGGACCGAGACACGGCCCAAACACCUACGGGAGGCAGCAGUAGGGAAUCUUCCGCAAUGGGCGAAAGCCCGACGGAGCAAUGCCGCGUGAGUGAAGAAGGCCUUCGGGUCGUAAAACUCUGUUAUAAGAGAAGAACAAAUUGUAGAGUAACUGCUACAGUCUUGACGGUAUCUUAUCAGAAAGCCACGGCUAACUACGUGCCAGCAGCCGCCGUAA